UUAAAUUGAUAUGAUUUUUUAAACUUACAAAACUAUUCUUUUAUUAUUUUUAUAUUCGUUUAAAUUGUAAAUUUAUCUGAAUUAUGAUAUUAUCAAAGAUCAACAUUUGGGACUGUUAUUUUAAAAAGAAAUGAUAUGUUUAAACAUUUUGUUUAUACCACCAAACAUUUUCAAAAUCACAGCAGUAGUCAGUCAUAUUUAUGUUUCUAGGGCAAUUGAUGCAUAUGAUGUCUUAUACAAUAAUUAAAUACUAAAUACUAAAAACUGAUAAAAUACUAAAAACUGAUAACAGAACGAUAAAUAAGAAAUAUGAAACGACAUUUUUUUUCGAAUCUCCGUUUUCGAAAAAAGUAAACUUCUUUUUUCACUUGAUAACAAAUACAUUGAAUGGAUUUUAACUCGUGAUAAAUGAUAAUUAUUGGAUUUUUAACGCAACAACUUUUGCGUUUUUUACGUUGAACGGUUUCGUAACAACUUAACACGUUGAUCAGCAUAAUGGAUUACAACCAGAUAUCUAUCGUACCAGCGAUAUAGGGGGUGUUUAGAUGAUUUCAUUAAUAGAAAGUCAUCCAACGAUAAAUAAAAGAGGUUGAAUGUGGAGAACGAGGUAGUCAGGAAACUGAUUCUCAUCGAUCCCGGAAGAUCUUUUUGACUUUAACUUUAACAACUUUACAUGCAUGCACCGAGUACUUUUCCAUUUCUUACUAUUGUACAACUAUGUCCAACAACUAAUGUAGGAAGAGUAUUACAAGAUAUGAAAUAAGGACUUUGUGUGGCAUUUGCUGCUAUGAAUCCGGAAGUGUUAACUAGUGCACGGGCUUUGGCAAUGAUUUCAAAGUUAUAUCAAUGCAAACGGGCGCUACUUUGAACAUUUUUUAUUUAUUGUCCGAUGACCUUCUAUUAGGGGUUGCUGAAAUCAGCUAAACGCGCUCUAUUCUGCCCGAAUAAAGAAGUACGGCAAGCAAUUUAAAAAAAUGGGGGUGAUCUUGACAUCUCCAUCUAUGUAAAAAUUAUUACUGCCAUAUUAUGGCUCCUCCCAUAUUGUACGACUUUUGUAAACAAAGUUUCACCAUAUCUCUAAAAAGGACGAAAAUAUUGAUCACAGUUAUCGCCUCGCUUCUUAUAUGACGCUGGUGAUGACCGUGUUAAUGACAUAAGAGGUUUUUCAUUUUACUGUACUUUUGUGAUGUAUGUUUCACUGUUACAAUCUGAAUUCUGAAUUCUAUCGUGUUUGGGUUAUGACGUGAAAUAUAUAGAUGCUGCUACAUUGACCAGAUAGGGGAAAAUAAAAUGUAAACAUUACAAAUCGAUGCACAAGGAUAGGUGUUUCAAUACUGAGUGAAAUUUGAAAACGGUGAAACUGAUGUUUGGAACAAGUGUUCAAAGUAAUGGAAUUGUAAUGGAAAUGAAUUGAAAAUUUACUAAUUUACUCGAGUUACUUGUUAAAUUUUGUUGUUACAAUUUGUGCCUUCUACUUUUAUCCAAUCAAUAUUGUACAUUGACAAAUUCAUGUUCGAUUUAAGUUCAUACGUCAAGUCCAAAGAUAGAAAGCGCUCUAUCGAAAAAACGGAAACUUGUGGCUUCAGAGAAACAGCACGACGUCAAACAAAUAUCAAUCUAUCUUCCUAUAUUUAACGCGUGAUGAAAAUAGAAGUUGAUAGCUCACACGCUAUCGUGCUAUUGCCAACGUAUUUUAAAAGGAUUGAAAGUAAAUGACUAAGAGCCAUUCUAUUCUCAUUAGAUUCUUGCUUACAUGGUGCUAAAAAAUUAUACGUUGUGACUUUGAUAAAUGUUUCUCAUUCCACACCUUCGGAUCGAUGCAGAUCUCUUAGAAAGAGGUACAAAAUUGACAACCUUAAAUUUCAUCGUACUCGUCACGAGACAGAAAAGUCUCAAAGAAACCACGAGUCACAGAUGAGUCGUUCUUUCGGAAAAUAGCCUUAGAGUUCCAUUACCUCUUACUUUGAUGUUACUUACAAAUAGACGCUGUUUACAUUUCGCAGUCAGAUAGAAAGUAAAUAGUGUCAUAUCGAUGAGGAAACAGAAAGAUGAGGAAUUAUUCCUUAGCACGUAAGAGAAAUAUUCCUGUCCCAAAUAUUAUAGAACGAAGCAUCUAUCUUCAGAGUCUCACGACUCGAUGUCAUUGAUUUCUUUGCAAAUCAAUACGUAAAGCAGAUACGAAGGUCAAUUAGACUUUUUAAAAAUUGGAUUACAUUUCUUUAUUUGUUGGUCGAUGCAUUUCAUCGCUGCACACGAGGAAGUAUUAAGUUUCUUCUGCCACAAAACCAGCCCAGUAAAAGCACGUUUUACUGAAAUAUCCCAUAAGCUUAAUACUUCUCUCUUCCAAGUUAUUUGUGUUAUAUCACUAUUAAAAUAUCUUCUGAACUAACGAUUUUUGAUAUGGACUAUUAUUAAGCAUUCAGAUGAAACACUGAAUUGUUCGAUCAGCACAAUAAGAAUUUUGAUACCAUCCAAAGGAAAACGUAGUUGAUCUUCACCUGGUGUCUGCCUGUACACCUGCAAGAAAAUAAUAUCAAAUCGUAUUAUCCUCUGUAAUACUAUUCGAUUCUCGUUUGAAAUAUUUUAUCCCACAGUAAGUAAUUCCGCAAUAGUUUGAAAUCAUAGAGUUAGGUAUUCGUUCUAGCAAGAGUGGAUUAACUCAUGUGCUAAGAAAUAAUUUUCAGUUUCCUCGUUAAUAUAACAGUGUUUAAUUCUUAUCUGACUGUAAAAUUUAAACGUAUUAUAAGUAACACCAAUGGAACUUUAACAUAAUUCUUUAAAAGAACAGUUCAUUUGCGAUCCAUCGUUCCUUUGAGAUUUUUGUUCCUGUGACGAAUACUAUACGAUUCGAUAUAAAACAUUUAACUUUGAGAUUCAAUGUCAAAGUCAUUUGAAAACGAUGAGUCAGUCAUGUAUCUAAUGGAUAUGUUUGGAUAAUAAUUUAUUGGAUAUCUUUAUGAAAAAUUGGUGAUAAAUGUCGAGUUCGAUUAGCAUAGUGUAAACAUAACGUGUGACCUACGGAACGAGAAGUAAUUGAUUGGAAUCGCAUAAGAAAAAGCGCAGUUGAUGCGUUUUAUAGUAACGUUUUAUAGUAUGCGAGUGAGUAACGUAACAACCAAUAAAAAAAGUACAAUAAAUCAGAUUUUAUAGUGAAACCUUAUGUAUGUUUUAAAUAUAAAAGUUUUGCGUAUUAAUGCGUAUGUUCUCUCAUUGGACUCGGAAGUUCAAGCUGUAACAGCUCUAGAAGCGGCGUUUUAAAGGAACAUUCAAAUAAACUCAAACAUUUAGCUUUAUUAUAGAACUUUUAACUUUAUUAUAGUUCGUGAUGCAACUCGAUUAAAACGAGGUAUACAGCAAGUCACUCUCAAUCUUGCAUCCUUAUUUUAUAUUCCAGUUAUUCAUUAAUACACACAUUUAAUGUCAUGUACAUGAUCGAGACGUAUUCAGUGGUCUAAUGAUCACAUAAAAGCGGUAUUGUCUUUUCAUAAUCUAUCUUUGCCACUAUUUUAAACCGUUGUUACAUUCUCUCAGAACGUUUCGCAAAUUUCAAGAAGAGGCGAUACACAUACAUUAUCUGACACAGUAUUUUAAUAUUUAAACGCGAUAAUUUGUGAAUUAAUUAUUCGCAUAAGAUAUUUUAUGUAUGGUGCACGGUUGAUAUCACAAUCUACAAUAUUAACAAACGCACAAAUAUAGAAGUGCUUUUUUCUUAUUAUUAUUCUUAUUUAGUAUAAAAAUAUAUUUAAUAAAAUAUGUAUAAAUUAUUUUAUAG